GGCCGGGCCGCCAUGCGCCGUGCCGCGGGCCGGGCUCGCCAUCCUGCGGCGUAGCGGCGGGACGCGGCUUGGCUUUCCGCCCGUGAUGUCCCCCGGGCAACAGGGGAAGGCGACUCACUCGAGGGCUGCGGCAGAGGCCUAGUGCGGCCAGCGCCGCUCCGCGUCCCCGCCGCCGCGCCCCCAUGGCCGAGGAGCAGCAGCCGGAGGGGCAGCCGCCGCGGCGGCUCGCCGGCACCCCUGUGCCCGGCGGGACCCUGCCGGCCCUGGUGCCGGGGCUGCAAGGCGGCGAGGCCAGCGCGCUGCAGCACAAGAUCUGCAGCUCCAUCUGCAAAACUGUACAAUCUAAAGUGGACUGCAUUUUGGUAAGUACAACUCCAGAAUGCUUUUCAAUAUUUAAUAAACUGCAAGACCAAAAUAGAUGGCUCUGGAGGCUGACAGCUGUUAUGAAGCCUUUCCUUAGCAGUGCUUUAAGGUACUACCAUUAAAUAUGAUCAAAAUUAGUUCCCAGUGCCAAAAAAAAUACAUGAUGUGGGUUUGGUGUUUAUUUUUCAUGGAAAUACUGACCUCUCUUUGCCUGCCACUUGUAAAACUGUCAGUAUAGAUACAGGAAGGUGACUUAGUGCUUUUGUAAGCAUGAUUUUGUUAAAUGUAAGAUAUGUAUUGCACAUAUCAGAGUAUGCAAGAAGCUAAUUGUGCCUUCAAGUUCCAUUGCUGUUUAGGCCUUUAAUGACAAUGAUUAUGUUGCUGUUUCCUUGAAACAGUUAAUUCAUGCUGAUACUAUUUUUUAAGGAAGGAACUAGGUUGAACUGCAUGUUCACACGAAACCUCGUGGACUAAUGUCCUGGUGUGAAAAUCUUGCAGGUGUCUUGCUAACCUCGGAAGCUGCACACUAUCUCUGGCCCUGUUAGCUCCACUAUACUGCUUAGGACAGAGAGAUACCCAAUUUCUUGAAGAAGGAAAGCCCUUGAAAUGCAUAAACAUCAUCUUCCUUUGAGCAUUAAAAUAACAGGAUCUAGAUUAGAGAUUAUUUCUGGGAAGCAAUAUCUAGCACGAGGUUAGAAAGAGGUUUUGUUUGUUUUUAAUAGUGAGCAGAUUUCUUUAAAUUGGUGUCUGAGUUCAUGGAUCUUAAGACUGGAAGGGUCUGCUUAUUCUGACUUUCUACCUUCAGCAUUUCAUCCAGAAGUACCAGCGGGUGAGACAAAAUGAUGACAUGCACAACCAUCUGGAUACGAUCAAACAGAAUCUGUUCAGCUGUACGGCUGCGCUAAAGAAUACUCCUUAAAGUCACAUUAUCGUAGGCUAAUUCAGAUGAAAUUGAAUUCUCUUUCCUUAAAAUCUUGUCUUAAUUUACUGUAGUAAGAGGUUUAAAGUAAGCUGUAUUGUUGUACUGCAGAUGAACGUGGACCCAGUUUUGCCUGUACUUAAAAAUUCUUGAAUGCAUCCAACUAAAAUUGUGAUACAAAAUGUCAUUUUUUGUCCUCAUUAUUGCUCAUUGACAUUUGUGGACACAAAGCAGGUGUCAUAAGAUCUUAAUGUUGUUUUUAUGUGAGUCUUCAGUGGCAAAUUGCAAAAUUGCACUUGUAAAACUUUCAAUACCAGGUUUUUCUGUGGUGAAAAACGGGAAGUGGGGCAAGUGUUCCUAAGUAGCAUCAGAGAGGGAGUACAUAAGUAGGAGAUUAACCAGUCAUCUGCUUCUUGGAAAGCUGUUUUAAGAAAAUGGCAUGACAUUGGACUAUUCUUGCAUUAAAUUCUGUGGAUUUGCGGACCUAGGGUACUGAGAUAGGGAUUAUCAGUUUGUGUGAGCCCAUUUGUUUGUGUGGGUCUCAUCCAUUGGAUGGACAAGCUCUUUUUCUGAAUAGUGGUUUUGGAGGC
ensembl:lncRNA